rnacentral:tmRNA from 1 species
GGGGGCGUUACGGAUUCGACAGGCAUAGGUCGAGCUUGGAUUGCGUUUCGUAGGUUACGGCUACGUAAAAACGUUACAGUUAAAUAUAACUGCUAAAAACGAAAACAACUCUUACGCUUUAGCUGCGUAAUAACAGCUUAGUGUAGAUCCUCUCGGUAUCGCCCAUGUACUCGAGUAAGGGUCCUAUAAUCAGUGGGAUACGCUGAAUCUUUCCGUCUGUAAGAUUCAGAAGAGAUUAUCAGACUAGCGAGAUUCGAUGCUGGUUAUGUGGCUAAGAUCAAGCGAAACCUAAAUAGCAUAACUAUAAACGUAGAGAUCGAAGUGACGAUAUGUCUGGACGCGGGUUCGACUCCCGCCGCUUCCAUAU